AACGAACGCUGGCGGCAGGCUUAACACAUGCAAGUCGAGCGCCCCGCAAGGGAAGCGGCAGACGGGUGAGUAACGCGUGGGAAUCUACCCAUCUCUACGGAAUAACGCAUGGAAACGUGUGCUAAUACCGUAUACGUCCUUCGGGAGAAAGAUUUAUCGGAGAUGGAUGAGCCCGCGUCGGAUUAGCUAGUUGGUGGGGUAAAGGCCUACCAAGGCGACGAUCCAUAGCUGGUCUGAGAGGAUGAUCAGCCACACUGGGACUGAGACACGGCCCAGACUCCUACGGGAGGCAGCAGUGGGGAAUAUUGGACAAUGGGCGCAAGCCUGAUCCAGCCAUGCCGCGUGAGUGAUGAAGGCCCUAGGGUUGUAAAGCUCUUUCACCGGUGAAGAUAAUGACGGUAACCGGAGAAGAAGCCCCGGCUAACUUCGUGCCAGCAGCCGCGGUAACAC
rnacentral:rRNA from 1 species